GGAUGUGAGGGCGAUCUGGCUGCAACAUCUGUCACCCCGUUGAUCACUAGGGUUGAUUAGGCUGAUCUGGCUGGCUAGGCAGGUGUCUUCUUCCUCCCUCACGGCUCCAUGUGCGUCCCUCCCAAAGCUGCACGCUCGAUCAAAGAGGACGCCCUUCCCUGAAUAGAGAAGGACUGGUCUUCAGUCAAGGGUAUAGAAGAAGCUGCGUUCCCCUACUAGAACCUCCAAACAAGCUCUCAGAUUAGUGCUUGAGUGUCCACUGAAUAAAUGAGGCCUUCUUUAUUCCCAGAAUUUGAAGGAAAUUCAGACAUUAUCU
ensembl:misc_RNA 7SK 7SK RNA